rnacentral:rRNA from 1 species
AUCUGCCUUUUGGUUUGGAAUAACACGGGGAAACUUGUGCUAAUACCGGAUAAGCCUUUACAGGGAAAGUUUUAACGCCAAAAGAUGAGCCCAUACUUGAUUAGCUAGUUGGUAAGGUAAUGGCUUACCAAGGCUACGAUCAAUAGCUGAUCUGAGAGGAUGAUCGGCCACAUUGGGACUGAGACACGGCCCAAACUCCUACGGGAGGCAGCAGUGGGGAAUCUUGCACAAUGGGGGAAACCUUGAUGCAGCGAUGCCGCGUGAGUGAAGAAGGCCUUUGGGUUGUAAAGCUCUUUCGUCGGGGAAGAAAAUGACUGUACCCGAAUAAGAAGGUCCGGCUAACUUCGUGCCAGCAGCCGCGGUAAUACGAAGGGACCUAGCGUAGUUCGGAAUUACUGGGCUUAAAGAGCUCGUAGGUGGUUAAGAAAGUUGGUGGUGAAAUCCCAAGGCUUAACCUUGGAACUGCCACCAAAACUUUUUGACUAGAGUAUGAUAGAGGUAAGUGGAAUUUCUAGUGUAGAGGUGAAAUUCGUAGAUAUUAGAAAGAACACCAAUUGCGAAGGCAACUUUCUGGAUCAUUACUGACACUGAGGAGCGAAAGCAUGGGUAGCGAAGAGGAUUAGAUACCCUCGUAGUCCAUGCCGUAAACGAUGUGUGCUAGACGUUGGAAAUUUAUUUUUCAGUGUCGCAGCAAAAGCAUUAAGCACACCGCCUGGGGAGUACGACCGCAAGGUUAAAACUCAAAUGAAUUGACGGGGACCCGCACAAGC